UGGGGAAUUUUGGACAAUGGGCGCAAGCCUGAUCCAGCAAUGCCGCGUGCAGGAUGAAGGCCUUCGGGUUGUAAACUGCUUUUGUACGGAGCGAAAAGGUCUGCCCUAAUACGGUGGGCUCAUGACGGUACCGUAAGAAUAAGCACCGGCUAACUACGUGCCAGCAGCCGCGGUAAUACGUAGGGUGCGAGCGUUAAUCGGAAUUACUGGGCGUAAAGCGUGCGCAGGCGGCUAUGCAAGACAGAGGUGAAAUCCCCGGGCUCAAACUGGGAACUGCCUUUGUGACUGCAAAGCUAGAGUACGGUAGAAGGGGAUGGAAUUCCGCGUGUAGCAGUGAAAUGCGUAGAUAUGCGGAGGAACACCGAUGGCGAAGGCAAUCCCCUGGACCUGUACUGACGCUCAUGCACGAGAGCGUGGGGAGCAAACA
rnacentral:rRNA from 1 species